GAUGAAGAACGUAGCGAAAUGCGAUAAGUAGUGUGAAUUGCAGAAUUCCGUGAAUCAUCGAAUCUUUGAACGCACAUUGCGCCCCCUGGCAUUCCUAGGGGCAUGCCUGUUCGAGCGUCAUUAACAACCAUCAAGCGGGACCUGUCUGCCUCGCUUGGCCAUGGGGGAUGGCCGCCCUCGGGGCGCCCACCCCCGAAAUACAACGGCGGACAGCCACCACGGGGCACCCGGGCGUAGUAAGUUGCUCUCUCGCCCGCGCCCACGGAAUGGACUGUCCGACCGGUCGAACCCCCAACAUCCAAUGGUUGACCUCGGAUCAGGUAGGGAUACCCGCUGAACUUAAGCAUAUCAAUAAGCGGAGGA
rnacentral:misc_RNA from 1 species